UUUUGGGCUGACGUAAAAAUGGUUGGGAUUGGGCAACUCGCAGGAAACCUCGGAAGGGUUCCUCAGAGGCCGUACGCCGAGCAGUCUGGCCUCCGGGAAGCCGUAAAAGGAGGUUUGGAUAUGGACUUAUCUCCCGACUGGGUCGUGGGAUUCACGGAUGGUGAAGGAUGUUUCCACGUUUCGAUUGUAAGAAACCCCAAAACCACCCUCGGAUAUCAGGUAAUACCCGAGUUCGUGAUCGUACAGCAUAAAAGGGACAUACAAAUUCUGUAUGCGUUGAAGAGGUUCUUUAAAUGCGGUGUUGUUAGGAAAAAUCAUGGGGACAGGUGGGCUUUAAGGAUCAGGAAGAUCUCAUGUCUGAAGGAGAUAUGCGAUUUCUUCACCAAACAUCCGCUAAAAACCAAAAAGAAUGUGGAUUUUAUAAGGUUCAGGAGGAUAAUUCAUAAGAUAGAGGAGGGUAGACAUCUGACGCCGGAAGGAUUGAUUGAGAUCAUAGAUAUAGCCCUCCAGAUGAAUACCGAAAAAAGGGCAUCCUUGAUGGAGAUAAAGAGGGAAAUAAUUGAGCGCUUCCCGGAAAUGGGCCGUGGGCCAGGCUGAAGAUAUGGCCCACCCCACGGUGAAAACCGUGGAUAAAGGUGAGCGAAGUUCCUUGUCACGUAAGUUGUGACCCGCAUGAAUGGCGUAACGACUGGGCCACUGUCUCAGGGGGGGACCCGGCGAAGUUUCAGUACCAGUGAAGAUGCUGGUUACCCGCGGCGGGACAGAAAGACCCCGUGGACCCUUACUGCAGCCUGGCGUUGGACUCUGGCAGGGCAUGUGCAGAAUAGGUGGGAGGCUGUGAAGCCGGGGCGCCAGCUCCGGUGGAGCCGCCAGUGAGAUACCACCCUUGUCCUGUUGGGGUUCUAACCUGCACCCCUGAAUCGGGGUGUGGGACAGCGCUUGGCGGGCAGUCUCGCUGGGGCGGCGUCCUCCUAAAAGGUAACGGAGGAGCCCAAAGGUCCCCUCAGGGCGGACGGUACCGCCCGUUGAGUGCAAGGGCAGAAGGGGGCCUGACUGCGAGGCCGACAGGCCGAGCAGGGGCGAAAGCCGGGCCUAGUGAUCAGGUGGUCCCGUGUGGAAGGGCCAUCGCUCAGCGGAUAAAGGGUACCCCGGGGAUAACAGGCUCGUCGGGCCCGAGAGUCCACUUCGACGGCCCGGUUCGGCACCUCGAUGUCGGCUCAGCCCAUCCUGGGGGUGCACAAGCUCCCAAGGGUUGGUCUGUUCGCCCAUUAAAGGGCUACGUGAGCUGGGUUCAGACCGUCGUAAGACAGGUCGGUCCCUAUCCGCCGUGGGCGUAGGGCGCUUGAGGGGGUCUGCCCACAGUACGAGAGGACCUGGGUUGGGGGCACCUCUGGUGUACCGGCUGUCGCGCCAGCGGCAGAAGCCGGGUAGCCAUGUGCCUAACCGAUAACCGCUGAAAGCAUCUAAGCGGGAAGCGGGCCCCAAGAUAAGGCGCCCCACCCGAGGGUUUCCUCGGGGUAAGGGCCGGGGGAGACUACCCCGUAGAUGGGCCGCAGGUGUAAGCCCCGCAAGGGGUUGAGCCGAGCGGUUCCAAUCGCCCGAGGAUUUCGUCGC
rnacentral:rRNA from 1 species